rnacentral:tRNA from 1 species
GUUUUUGUGGUGUAGUGGUCAGCACACUCGGCGCGUAUUCGAGAAGUCCGUGGUUCGAGUCCUGGCGAGGGUA